UCGUGCUAGAUGGGGAGUUGGCGGUGCCCUGAACCCGCAAUCCGCCAUAGCGGGGUUGAAUUCCCUCUCCAGGUAUGACUUUGUGGGACUGGCUGUACCACGGUGUGAUGAAGGUCGGGUCCCGCACGGCGGGGAACUGUGAAUCGGGUCAGGAUCGGAAGAUAGCAGCCCUAAGCGGCACUCCUCGGGUGAUGUGGGGUUUCCCUACCGGAGCAUACGAGUUCGGCCAAGCCGGAAAGACCAUAUCGAAAGAGGGUGCACGG
rnacentral:SRP_RNA from 1 species